rnacentral:rRNA from 1 species
ACUCCUACGGGAGGCAGCAGUGGGAAUAUUGCACAAUGGGCGCAAGCCUGAUGCAGCCAUGCCGCGUGUGUGAAGAAGGCCUUCGGGUUGUAAAGCACUUUCAGUAAGGAGGAAAGGUUAGUCACUAAUAUUGGCUAGCUGUGACGUUACUUACAGAAGAAGCACCGGCUAACUCCGUGCCAGCAGCCGCGGUAAUACGGAGGGUGCGAGCGUUAAUCGGAAUUACUGGGCGUAAAGCGCGUGUAGGUGGCUUGUUAAGCCAGAUGUGAAAGCCCCGGGCUCAACCUGGGAACUGGCAUUUGGAACUGGCAGGCUAGAGUUUUGUAGAGGGUUGGUANAAUUUCGAGGUGUAGCGGUGAAAUGCGUAGAGAUCUGAAGGAACACCGGUGGCGAAGGCGACCACCUGGCCAAUAACUGACACUGAGACGCGAAGGCGUGGGUAGCAAACGGGAUUAGAUACCCUGGUAGGCUCUG